CUUUGGAAGAUCCGCCAUAAUCAGGCAGGCUCCGUUUUUCAUUUACUUUUGCGGAUUACGUUUUCAGCCAAAACGUUUCGAUUUCGUUUUAAGGUGCUCCAGUUUUCACAUAUUUUUUUUAUUGAUAUGUUUCUUUUUUCAUCGUUUCUGGCAAACAAAAACAGCUGACCUGGCUGCUUUGUAAAAAUACAGCGUGAUUAAAAUGCCUUUUAUUUUUUCAAUUGCUUGUUUUGAAGCAAAACGAUUGCAGAAAUUACGUGAUCUAAGAAGAUCUAGACAUCUUAGAUGCAACACUUGUGUAUUUAACAUGUCUGACGAACUAUUUGUGAAGUCAUUUCGGAUCGACAAAAAAACUUUCAAAAUGAUUUUGGAGAAAGUUCAACCCCAUUAAGGUGUUACCAGGAAGUUAUCUCCCUCUACGCAAUUGGCUUCAGUAAUGUGAUAUCUCGCCACUGGCUGCUACCAGUGGGCAGUUGCCAAAGACCACCAUAUAAACAUUGGACGCAGUACAUUUGGAAAGAUUCUUCACAAACUUAUUCCGUUGAUGGACAGGCUGUUAUGUAUUGAGUUCAUUUCGUUGUAGAUGAAUAAUCAUCAAUUGCAACAAUCAUAUGAAUAUUUCUAUCGGAACUUUAAAUUGCCUCGAAUUGGUGCCUGUGUGGAUGGAACUCACAUCAGAAUACUAAAGCCUGUACAAAACCACUCCGUGUUCUAUAAUAGGAAAUGAUUUUAUAGCAUGAAUGCCAUGGUGGUGUGUAACUGCAACAUGGAGAUAAUUGCUAUUGAUGCCACGCACCCUGGUUCCUGCCAUGACUCCAUCAUUUGGAAUCACUCCCCUGCUAGGGAAUAUUUAUCCACGACCAUUAAUGGGUUUGUUUUGGCUGAUUCGGGCUACGCUCUAGAGAGUUUUGUUCUGACUCCUUAUAGGAGCGCGGAGAUAGCCACCUAUCAGCACAGAUUCAACAUAAAGCAUACUGGAGCACGAAAUAUUAUAGAACGCACCAUUGGAGUCCUUAAAAGCCGUUUCCGUUGCUUGCAACGCACUUUAAAUUACCCACCAAUAUUUUGUUGCCAAAUUAUAAAUGUAUGCUGUGCCCUGCACAAUAUUUGUAGAAGACGUAAUGUCUUAAUCGAGGAGGAUGUUCGAUUUGACGACCCUUUAGACACUGAAAAUGAAUUCGACGACACUGAAAAUAAUGGAUCAUCUAUACGCGAUGAAAUAGCUCAGGCCAUUCCUUAUUAAAAUGCAAAAUUUUUCAUGUUUUCUUCUUUAUGUCAUUCGAUAUUCUUUAUAACUAAUAAAGCUAAGUUUCACAAAAAAACUAA